GCGGCCGUGUCGGAACUGGCAGACGAGCUGGGUUUAGGUCCCAGUGGCUUCGCCCGUGAGGGUUCGAGUCCCUCCGGCCGCA
rnacentral:tRNA from 1 species